rnacentral:siRNA from 1 species
GGAGGAUAGGCCACAACACAUAGA